rnacentral:rRNA from 1 species
UACGGGGGGAGCAAGCGUUGUCCGGAAUUAUUGGGCGUAAAGAGCUCGUAGGCGGUUUGUCACGUCGAAUGUGAAAACCCGGGACUCAACUCCGGGCCUGCAUUCGAUACGGGCAGACUAGAGUUCGGUAGGGGAGACUGGAAUUCCUGGUGUAGCGGUGAAAUGCGCAGAUAUCAGGAGGAACACCGAUGGCGAAGGCAGGUCUCUGGGCCGAUACUGACGCUGAGGAGCGAAAGCGUGGGGAGCGAACAGG